CUGGGCUCGCGUCGUCUGCGCUGUGGUCGUCAUGGACCGGAAGCGUGUGCGGGCGCGCCUGCCUCGAGGCCAGCAUCAGGGAAGUGUGUCCCAGGUGAAGGCGAAGCUUCCUUCACGUGUUCUUGGAGGACUUUCCGCUCGCAAGCGCUUCUCCAUUCUCCUAACGUCUCGGGCCUGUGUGGAAAGAAGAAACCUGGUGGCCUUGGCCUGGGAAUAUGGCGGUUCCAAGCACAAUGCUGUACUGAAAUGGUACCAGAAGACAGAAGGUUACGUGGUAAGGGGCAACAUUAGCCAACUUCCACCAGCCCAGGGCAGUAGUAGUCCUGUGCCAGUACAUGUUCCAUGUGUGCCUGUGCUUAGUGGGCCAGUAUGCAUGUAAUUAUCAUCUUUCUAUUCCCCCAAACCGAGAGGCAAAUGCAACGGGAAGCCAGUCUGCACUCCACCCACCAAACAUAUGGCUGCAUGCAGAGCUGCAUCUCCCUAGGGAAGUGGGACCUUUUCCUUUCCUCAAAGUAUUACCGACCACGGGUUCUUAGGCUUUUGAUGCAAUAGAAAUUCUCACCAGGCUAAAAGAGUUUUUCCAGCAAGGCUUUAUUAGAGCAUAUGCCCAGGCACAAGGGAGGAAGCACAGGAGAGGGAGGAUUCUCUGGCUGACUCCCUGAAAUGAGCUGGUAGGGAUUUUUUUUUUUAUUAGGCAAUGUGCGGAAAUUGAUGUCAAGGUAGGGAAUGCUGGCUGGGUAGGGUAGAGAACGUGAGGGGGAAGGGAUGUGGGUCAGCUUAUCUGCUGGCGAUGGUUGUCUUGAGUAAUGGGCCACCUGGUGUUCUGGUUGGUGGCAGCAAGGCUGUAUGAAUCAGUUGUUUAGCAUUCCUUCCUGAGGUGGGAUACUUGCAACCUUGGUUGGAUAUUUUGGAUCUCCUAAGGCCAGUUCCUGUAAUCCUUUAAGUAAAAGGCAAGGUUAAACAUUAUGAGAGCACCAAAGAACAAUAUAGAAUGGCUGUUUUCUUUGCGUGACUGUUAGUGGGUAUGGCGUCAGUGAGGUAGUGGUGUGGGUUUUGUGAUCAGUGGGAAUGUGUGGAAGAAUGCUGUAGUGGGGCCUCCACCCAAGGAGACAGCUUUUGCUAAAUUACACUCCCGAAGAAGAGUGCUUUGCUUAAUUCAUAUAAAGGCCCUACAUAAAUGGACCUCCAAAACUUCUCCAAAUAUUUUCUUUCUAUUGCUUUCAGAGUUGUUUGCAUUUAGUUUAAGAGUUUUUGUUUACUAGGACAGUAUCUGUUUUCUGUUCAGAAAAGGAAUUAAUACCUGGUAUAAGUUUAGGUUUUUUGUGCGUGUAGAACACUAUACACAAAGAUAAAAAUGCACAAAAUUUAAACGAUAGUUUGUUGUUCUUUUUUAAGAGACAGAGUCUCACUCUGUUGCCCAGGCUGGAGUACAGUGGCGUGAUCUCGGCUCACUGUAACCUCUGCCUCCCGGGUUCAAGCAAUUCUCCUGCCUCAGCCUCUGGAGUAGCUGGGAUUACAGGUGUAAGCCACCACACCUGGUUAAUUUUUGUGUUAUUAGUAGAGAUGGGGUUUCACUGUGUUGGCCAGGCUGGCCUCGAAUUCCUGACCUCUGGUGAUCCACCUGCCUCAGCCUCCCAAAGUCCUGGGAUUACAGGCAUGAGCCACCGCUCCCAGCCCCAAAUGAUAGUUUCUUGAACUGUGAGGAAGUGAAAAGUCAUACAGUCACCACUCGAAUCCAGAAGAAGAGCAUCGCCAGUUCCCACAGACCUUUCCUACGACUUUCCCAUCAUAACCCCUCACUACUCCCUAAGAUAACCAUUGUCCUCAAUUCUUCUCUUUAUGGAUUUUUACAAAAGUAUGCAGCUGUAAAUAUUAUGUUAGUAUUGCUUGCAUUUGAAUUUUAUUACGGAUGGAAUUUUUAAAACUGUGUAAUUUUGCAUCUAUCUUUUUUGUUUGUUUUAGGGAGCAGAGGGUUUAAUAGGCAAGAAAGAUGGGAGAAGGCAGAAAAUAGAAGCUCCCCUGUACAGAGACAGAGGGAGGGGGACUUCAGAGCGGAGGGAGGGAACCCCCUGCAUCUAGCUUUUUUUUUUUUUUUACACAGUAUUGAAUCAGUGAGAUUUACUCAUGUUGUCGCCUAUACUGUAAUUUACUCAUUUUCUUCACCAUUUAGUAACUCAUUGUAGGAUUAUAGCAUUAUUUAGUUAUCCAUUCUAUUAUUGGUAGACAGUUGAGUCAAGUCCAGUUUGGGGCUAAGGUGAAUAGCGCUGUUAUGUUCUUGUGGAUGUCUCUUGAAACACAUAUGUGCUCAUUCCUGUUGGUUACAUACUUUGGAAUGGAAUUCCUGGGCCUUAGGGUAUGUAUACAUUCUAGGAUAGUACCAAACAGAUGCCUGAAAUAUUUGUAUAAUUUAUGUAUUUUCAGCAACGUAUGAGAGGUCAAUUUCUGUACAUUUUCAUCAGCACUUAGUAGCAUCAGUCUGUACUGGAGAUCAUGUGGGUAAUGUGUAGUGUCUCAUUGUGGUUUUGAUUUGCAUUUUUCUUUUGGCAGUGGAGAUUGAGCACCUUUUCAUAGCAAAUUGGCCAUGUGGAUAAUCCCUUUUGGAGUGCACCUGCUCAGAAUUUUUGCCCACUUUAUUUGUUGGUUGCAUAGCGGGGCGGGGAGUAUUGGCUCUUUAAACAGGAUAUGAACUUUUGCCCAUUUUAAGAAUCAGAUGUCAUUCUCUUCCUUAUUGCUUUUAAGAAUUCUUUAUGUAUUCUCCAUGUAAGUCCUUUGUCAAAUACAUAUAUGGCAAAUACCUUCUCCCAGUGUGCCUUAAAUUUUCUUCUUUUGAUGAACAAAGUUCUUAAUUUUAAUUAAGUCUGAUUUAUCAGUCUUUCCUCUAAUGGUUAGUGCUUUUUGUUUUCUGUAUAAGAAAUGAUUUAUUCAUGGCCUGGCGUGGUGGCUCAUGCCUGUAAUCUCAGCACUUUGGGAGGCCGAGGAGGGCGGAUCACGAGGUCAGGAGAUCAAGACCAUCCUGGCUAACACGGUGAAACCCCGUCUCUACUAAAAAUACAAAAAAUUACCUGGGCGUAGUGCAG
ensembl:lincRNA